UACGUAGGGUGCAAGCGUUAGUCGGAAUUGCUGGGCGUAAAGCGUGCGCAGGCGGUUAUGCAAGACAGAUGUGAAAUCCCCGGGCUUAACCUGGGAACCGCAUUUGUGACUGCAUAGCUGGAGUACGGCAGAGGGGGAUGGAAUUCCGCGUGUAGCAGUGAAAUGCGUAGAUAUGCGGAGGAACACCGAUGGCGAAGGCAGUCCCCUGGGCCUGUACUGACGCUCAUGCACGAAAGCGUGGGGAGCAAACAGG
rnacentral:rRNA from 1 species